CGGCGUUACAAUGCAGAUCGAACGGAUAACUCGGGGGCAACCUGUGCGUACGAAGCUGGCGAAACGGGAUGAACCCCUUUUAAUCGGUAACGUUACCCAGAUAAUGGGGGAUAGCCCGGCGUAAAGCCGGAUUAAUACCGCAUACGACCUACGGGUGAAAGCGGGGGAUCGCAAGACCUCGCGCUAUUGGAGCGGCCGAUGUCAGAUUAGGUAGUUGGUGAGGCAAAGGCUCACCAAGCCUUCGAUCUGUAACUGGUCUGAGAGGACGACCAGCCACAUUGGGACUGAGACACGGCCCAGACUCCUACGGGAGGCAACAGUGGGGAAUUUUGGACAAUGGGCGCUAGCCUGAUCCAGCCAUGCCGCGUGCGGGAAGAAGGCCUUCAGGUUGUAAACCGCUUUUGUCAUGGAAGAACCGCCCCGGAUUAUUACCCUGGGGUUAAUGACCGGACCUGAAGCAAUA
rnacentral:rRNA from 1 species